CCUACGGGAGGCAGCAGUCGGGAAUUUCGGGCAAUGGGCGAAAGCCUGACCCAGCAACGCCGCGUGAAGGAUGGAAUCCCUCGGGAUGUAAACUUCGCAAGAACGGGAAGAAUAAGUAGGGGACAAUACCCCCUAUGAUGACGGUACCGUUUGUAAGCUCCGGCUAACUCCGUGCCAGCAGCCGCGGUAAUACGGGGGGAGCAAGCGUUGUUCGGAUUUACUGGGCGUAAAGGGCGCGUAGGCGGCCAGCACAAGUCAGUUGUGAAAUCUCCGAGCUUAACUCGGAAAGGUCAACUGAUACUGUGCGGCUAGAGUGCAGAAGGGGCAACUGGAAUUCUUGGUGUAGCGGUGAAAUGCGUAGAUAUCAAGAGGAACACCUGCGGCGAAGGCGGGUUGCUGGGCUGACACUGACGCUGAGGCGCGAAAGCCAGGGGAGCGAACGGGAUUAGAUACCCCGGUAGUCCUGGCCUUAAACGAUGAAUGCUUGGUGUCUGGGGUUAUAAAGUCCCUGGGUGCCGUCGCUAACGCUUUAAGCAUUCCGCCUGGGGAGUACGGUCGCAAGACUGAAACUCAAAGGAAUUGACGG
rnacentral:rRNA from 1 species